UGAGGAAUAUUGGUCAAUGGGCGCAAGCCUGAACCAGCCAUCCCGCGUGAAGGAAGAAGGCGCUAUGCGUUGUAAACUUCUUUUCCAGGGGGAGAAUUUUUCCGUCGUGACGGGAAUUGACGGUACUCUGGGAAUAAGCAUCGGCUAACUCCGUGCCAGCAGCCGCGGUAAUACGGAGGAUGCGAGCGUUAUCCGGAUUUAUUGGGUUUAAAGGGUGCGUAGGCGGAUUGAUAAGUCAGUGGUGAAAGGCUGCAGCUUAACUGUAGACUGGCCGUUGAUACUAUCAGUCUUGAGUAUAGUCAAGGCAGGAGGAAGGUGUAAUGUAGAGGUGAAAAGCUGAGAAAUUAUGGAGAACAGCGAGUGCGAAGGAAGAUUGCUGGACCAUCACUGACGCUCAUGCACGAAAGCGUGGGGAUCGAA
rnacentral:rRNA from 1 species